UGGGAGUUUGAGAGAGCAUCUCUUAUCAACAUGGUAACUGGAACGAAAAGACUUAAUGAUAGCGGGGGUCUUUUGAUCGCAACAGUUUAUAACAAGCAAACUGGUAAGGUGAAAAAUGGAACAGUUUGCAAGGAUGCGUUUAACUGGUAUUCGGCACAGCUUUUUUGCUGGACAAUUGGACAUCACUUCUCUGACUGGGGAAGUAAUCCGAGAAACAUGAAAUAUGUUCCUGAGGAUUGGCUGAAUGGAACUGACAUGUCAAUAGUAAUGGAUGACGUUAACUGCAAACAGAAUGAUAUUGACAUAUCAGAUUGCAAUUCCCGCAUUUUGAGACACAACUGUCAGCAUGAGGACAAUAUUUGGCUCCACUGCUCUAGUAAAACAGGAUGUGUUGACGAAAUUUUGCAGCAAUCAAACAAAAACUGCACUGUGACUAAUAUCGGGGGGUUUUUGAAACACUUGUGUUAUGAUGAAAGUAGAAAAGAGUACUUUCACAAGUGUGCUUAUUCGAACACUACCUAUCAUGUAACAGGAACUGAGAGUAACACACUCUUUAGUGUCUCUACUGUCUGUGAAAAUGACCCGUAUGUUUAUCAGGCAUGUGGUUUUCAUACGAAAAUUACCUUACAGAGCAUUUAUUUCUGUGGAGGUUAUUUUAGAAAUGAUACAAAUCUAGAA